CUGUAGGAUCAGGUGGAGCCCAUGUCUGGAAUGAGCUUAUUGGCUGGGAAGGCGCUAAGCUCCGCCCGCAUGUCAGACAUCCUCAGCCAAUCGUCUCUGACAGGAAGCCAGCAGCUGCAGCAGAGGGAGGGGUCAGCGUGUGACGUGGAGGCAGACGUUCACCCCGCCGCGUGUUACCCGUCCUCCUGCACCAGUGACAUGCUGCUAAGCUACAAAACCCCGGAUCUGCAGUACAGCGUGGAGCAGGCCGGGGUCUAAUGAACACAGGGGUGUAUUUGCUGUAUAAAGCUCAUAUCCGUCUGCUGUGUUGUGCUGUCAUGCCAAAUCCUCAUCGUCUGUCUGUCGGGGUGCUGUGGGUGUGGCCUGCACGCAGGGGGCGGAGCUCCGUGCCGCUGGGAGUGUCUCUGAUUGGCUGCAGCCCCUCCCGCACCCCAAGCCCCUCCUACUGUUGCCAUAGCAGCACUCUCGCGCACGCCGAUGUGCAAGGCAAACACAGAGUCUUACACACACACACACACACACACACACACACACACACACACA